rnacentral:rRNA from 1 species
UACGGAGGGAGCUAGCGUUGUUCGGAAUUACUGGGCGUAAAGCGUACGUAGGCGGCUUUGUAAGUUAGAGGUGAAAGCCUGGAGCUCAACUCCAGAACUGCCUUUUAGACUGCAUCGCUUGAAUCCAGGAGAGGUGAGUGGAAUUCCGAGUGUAGAGGUGAAAUUCGUAGAUAUUCGGAAGAACACCAGUGGCGAAGGCGGCUCACUGGACUGGUAUUGACGCUGAGGUACGAAAGCGUGGGGAGCAAACAGG